rnacentral:rRNA from 1 species
GAUGAACGCUGGCGGCGUGCUUAACACAUGCAAGUCGAACGAGAAGUGGAGACGGAAACCUUCGGGCGGAAGACUUUAUUUCGAGUGGCGGACGGGUGAGUAACGCGUGGGUAACCUGCCUCAUACAGGGGGAUAACAGUUGGAAACGACUGUUAAUACCGCAUAAGACCACAGCACCGCAUGGUGCGGGGGUAAAAACUCCGGUGGUAUGAGAUGGACCCGCGUUCGAUUAGCCAGUUGGCGGGGUAACGGCCCACCAAAGCGACGAUCGAUAGCCGAUCUGAGAGGAUGACCGGCCACAUUGGGACUGAGACACGGCCCAAACUCCUACGGGAGGCAGCAGUGGGGAAUAUUGCACAAUGGGGGAACCCCUGAUGCAGCGACGCCGCGUGAGUGAAGAAGUAUUUCGGUAUGUAAAGCUCUAUCAGCAGGGAAGAAAAUGACGGUACCUGAGUAAGAAGCCCCGGCUAACUACGUG